AAAAAUUCGCUGUAGUUUCGUGGAGCAGCCUCCAGAUGGCGAGCUAGAGUGCAUUCUCAGCCCAGAGAGUGGCCAGUUGCCCGCCGCUGAGAAUGAAGCUCAGAGCAUUUGGGCUUAAGCCGGUUCAGCUCAGAGGUGGGUUUCGGAAGUCUGUGGCGGACCACCGCAGCAAGUCAUCACUCAGCGUACAAGCCUUUCCAUUUCUGAAAAUAUAAAGAACUUAAGCAUGCGGCGUUCGGAGUGUAGAUUGCUUUGAGGUAUUUCAAAGCAGCGCUGAUCAUGGGCAGAGGAGCUGAUAUGUGCAACAGAAACUACUCACUGGAACUCUUCUGGGCGUCUGUCCUCUGUAAUGCAAGUGUCUGCCCUCACUCUGGCGACUGUGCUGUUGGAACGCUGGUGCUCAUCUUUCACUGUCCUCCACAAAGCAUGCCUCAGGACUGUAGGCAGGCUGUUUAUGCCAUUGUAAGACUACCCCUGGGAAGGAGGGACAGACCUAAAAAAUUCACUAACAAUUCUGACUAAACUGACCUGUCUCCUAACAUAGAGAAGAUUGGCAGCCAGAAAGACCUGGAUAUCCCACCUCCAUUGCCCACUGCACUGUGGUUACAGCAUGAAGCCAUAACUGGCUCUUUAGUUCUAUGCCAUGAAAUUCAACUCUCAUUUUCAUGCUUGUGCACUAAUCCUAAAAGUAUCAUAUUCCCAAAUGGUUAUUUUGUUUUCUGUAUUUGCAAAUACUUGUUUUCUUUUCUUAAUGGAGUUUGUAGGCCCAUAAGUUACUU
rnacentral:lncRNA from 1 species